GAUGAACGCUGGCGGCGUGCCUAAUACAUGCAAGUCGAGCGAACGGACGAGAAGCUUGCUUCUCUGAUGUUAGCGGCGGACGGGUGAGUAACACGUGGAUAACCUACCUAUAAGACUGGGAUAACUUCGGGAAACCGGAGCUAAUACCGGAUAAUAUUUUGAACCGCAUGGUUCAAAAGUGAAAGACGGUCUUGCUGUCACUUAUAGAUGGAUCCGCGCUGCAUUAGCUAGUUGGUAAGGUAACGGCUUACCAAGGCAACGAUGCAUAGCCGACCUGAGAGGGUGAUCGGCCACACUGGAACUGAGACACGGUCCAGACUCCUACGGGAGGCAGCAGUAGGGAAUCUUCCGCAAUGGGCGAAAGCCUGACGGAGCAACGCCGCGUGAGUGAUGAAGGUCUUCGGAUCGUAAAACUCUGUUAUUAGGGAAGAACAUAUGUGUAAGUAACUGUGCACAUCUUGACGGUACCUAAUCAGAAAGCCACGGCUACCUACGUGCCAGCAGCCGCGGUAAUACGUAGGUGGCAAGCGUUAUCCGGAAUUAUUGGGCGUAAAGCGCGCGUAGGCGGUUUUUUAAGUCUGAUGUGAAAGCCCACGGCUCAACCGUGGAGGGUCAUUGGAAACUGGAAAACUUGAGUGCAGAAGAGGAAAGUGGAAUUCCAUGUGUAGCGGUGAAAUGCGCAGAGAUAUGGAGGAACACCAGUGGCGAAGGCGACUUUCUGGUCUGUAACUGACGCUGAUGUGCGAAAGCGUGGGGAUCAAACAGGAUUAGAUACCCUGGUAGUCCACGCCGUAAACGAUGAGUGCUAAGUGUUAGGGGGUUUCCGCCCCUUAGUGCUGCAGCUAACGCAUUAAGCACUCCGCCUGGGGAGUACGACCGCAAGGUUGAAACUCAAAGGAAUUGACGGGGACCCGCACAAGCGGUGGAGCAUGUGGUUUAAUUCGAAGCAACGCGAAGAACCUUACCAAAUCUUGACAUCCUUUGACAACUCUAGAGAUAGAGCCUUCCCCUUCGGGGGACAAAGUGACAGGUGGUGCAUGGUUGUCGUCAGCUCGUGUCGUGAGAUGUUGGGUUAAGUCCCGCAACGAGCGCAACCCUUAAGCUUAGUUGCCAUCAUUAAGUUGGGCACUCUAAGUUGACUGCCGGUGACAAACCGGAGGAAGGUGGGGAUGACGUCAAAUCAUCAUGCCCCUUAUGAUUUGGGCUACACACGUGCUACAAUGGACAAUACAAAGGGCAGCGAAACCGCGAGGUCAAGCAAAUCCCAUAAAGUUGUUCUCAGUUCGGAUUGUAGUCUGCAACUCGACUACAUGAAGCUGGAAUCGCUAGUAAUCGUAGAUCAGCAUGCUACGGUGAAUACGUUCCCGGGUCU
rnacentral:rRNA from 1 species